rnacentral:misc_RNA from 1 species
UUAAGUUCAGCGGGUAUUCCUACCUGAUCCGAGGUCAACCUGAUAAAUAAUUUUAGAGGCGACCGGGUCCCUGGGCCCUUGAAACUCUACGCGUGCUCCGGAGAACUCAGUGCGAAGAGGGUCCCGGGGACGCCGUCAUUGUCUUUGAGACCAGUUGGCCAUAGGCGGUCCAACGCGGUCCAACACCAAACACGGGGUUU